rnacentral:piRNA from 1 species
UGAGGAUUUUUUAAGAACUGG